GUGCACCAGUCGCGAAUAGUCUACAAUGGACGAAAGUCUGAUAGUGCGACGCCGUGUGUGCGAUUAAUUCCUUCGGGAUGUAAAGCACUUUUCUAUGAGAUAAAAGCUCUUUAGGUUAAUAGCUUAUUGAGACGGAUAUUAUUAUAGGAAUAAGCUCCGGCUAACUCCGUGCCAGCAGCCGCGGUAAUACGGAAGGAGCGAGCGUUGUCCGGAUUUACUAGGCGUAAAGGGCUAGUAGGCGACUAAUUAAGUUAUAUGUUAAAUCCCACGGCUCAACUGUGGUCCUGCAUGUAAUACUGGUUAGAUAGAGUACUGUAGAGGAAGGCAGAAUUCCUGGAGUAGCGGUGGAAUGCGCAGAUAUCAGGAAGAAUACCAAAAGCGAAGGCAGCCUUCUGGGCAGUUACUGACGCUGAAUAGCGAAGGUGUGGGUAGCGAACAGGAUUAGAUACCCCUGUAGU
rnacentral:rRNA from 1 species